UACGGAGGGUGCGAGCGUUGUCCGGAAUCACUGGGCAUAAAGGGCGCGUAGGCGGCUUUUCAAGUCAGGGGUGAAAUCCGGCAGCUUAACUGUCGAAGUGCCUUUGAUACUGGGAAGCUCGAGGGAGGUAGGGGUGUGUGGAACUUCCGGUGGAGCGGUGAAAUGCGUUGAUAUCGGAAGGAACGCCGGUGGCGAAAGCGACGCACUGGACCUCUUCUGACGCUGAGGCGCGAAAGCCAGGGGAGCAAACGGG
rnacentral:rRNA from 1 species